GUAUUUUUUCUUGGGGGCAUCCCAUAAAUUUGGAACUAUAUAGAGAAGAUUAACAUGGCACUGCCCAAAGAUGACACGCUCAAAUCGAGAAAUGGUCAAGUUAUAA
rnacentral:snRNA from 1 species